GCCUGUUUAUCAAAAACAUGUCUUUUUGAAAAUAAUUUAAAGUCUAAUCUGCCCCCUGAUAAUUUAUUGAAGGGCUGCAGUAUUUUGACUGUACAAAGGUAGCAUAAUCAUUAGUCUUUUAAUUGGUGACUUGUAUGAAGGAUUGGAUGAGAUAUAAACUGUCUUAAAUAUAAAAAAAAAUUGAAUUUAAUUUUUUAAUUAAAAAGUUAAAAUAGAUUAAAAAGACGAGAAGACCCUAUAGAGUUUUAUAUUAUUUUAACUUUAAUUUAUUUAUAAAUUUAUUGAAUUUAAAUUUAAAAUAAUAUUUUGUUGGGGUGAUAGAAAAAUAAGAAAAACUUUUUUUUUAGUUAACCAUAAAUAAAUGAAUAUUUGAUCCAUUAAUAUUGAUUAUAAGAAAAAAUUACCUUAGGGAUAACAGCGUAAUUUUUUUUUUUAGUUUUUAUAAGAAAGAAAGUUUGCGACCUCGAUGUUGGAUUAAGAUAAAAUUUAA
rnacentral:rRNA from 1 species